rnacentral:rRNA from 1 species
GACGAACGCUGGCGGCGUGCUUAACACAUGCAAGUCGAACGAAGUGGCGAACGGGUGAGUAACGCGUACUCAACCUGCCCUUCAGAGGGGGACAACAGUUGGAAACGACUGCUAAUCCCGCAUACUGAAGGAGGGGAUUGCGUCUGAUUAGCUAGUUGGAGGGGUAACGGCCCACAAAGGCGAUGAUCAGUAGCCGGUCUGAGGGGAUGAACGGCCACAUUGGGACGGAGACACGGCCCAGACUCCUACGGGAGGCAGCAGUGGGGAAUCUUCCGCAAUGGACGAAAGUCUGACGGAGCAACGCCGCGUGAGUGAUGACGGCCUUCGGGUUGUAAAGCUCUGUUAAUCGGGACGCGGUACCGGAAUAGAAAGCCACGGCUAACUACGUGCCAGCAGCCGCGGUAAUUC